GCUCUGGCUGCCGCUACCGCUUCUUCCGGUUGAGGCCACGCCCCUUCCGGUUGAGGCCCCACCCUUUGCCCAGGACUCCAGCGUACCGGGUCCAGCAAGACUUCUCUGCCCUCUGCUGGAGGCAUCAGUGUCUUGCCACUCCCUGUUAAAGAAAAUCCGCUCUGAUUGGGCUGCCAACACGAUUUACUCCUCCAAAGAAUUAGAAGGCCAAAGUAGACUGGUGGAGACGCUGACUAAGAAGGCUUGGCUACUUCCUCUCAGGGGGUGACAGGAUCAGGAUACCAGGCGUGGGGACUUCUGGAUGCCCCUUGAACAGGAGAGAUUUUGAAGGACUCUACCCUGGAAGGGGGGAAAUGUUGAGUGACCUCGCCAGAGGGCCAAAUCACUAAGAGGGAGCAACAGUUAAUGAAGUGAGAGUAGGGCUGUGGCCUGAGAGUGAGAGGCAGAGAAACGGCAUGCGACCGCAGGAAGAGGCAUUGGUCUCAUGGAGCGAAUCCCCAGAACAGCCAGGAGGAGGCACCAUUCCAGCAAUGAGUAGAGCACACAUGUGAGUAUUGAUAGUUAUUACAAUGUAUUAAAGAGAAGACAAAGUAUCAAGAAUUUGGUAUUUUGACAGUAAAAGCAAUAUAAAUACACAUCAGUGUCUAAUCCUGCAUGGUGUGAAUGUCUACUGUGAACAGGGCUGUGCAACACAUCUGCUCUUUCAGAGUCUGUUCUGGUUUGGCUACCCACCGUUUGAGACUUACACCUGUCUUAUUUUGAAGCCUCUGGACUGCUGACUCCCAAGAUAGAUAAUCUAGUUUUAAGGUUUUGAAACUGUGUGAAUGUAAUUUAUACUCUUUACACUUCCACUGAAGAAUGCAUCCCAUCAUGUCAUACAAACAUGUGACGUUAUUCUUGCUGGCAUAUUGGAGAGAUCAUAUCCUUAGCAUCAAUACCAUGCUGUGAAUUUAUUGUGGGUGAUGACAUGUAUCCACUCACUUAUACACAGCCUAUUUCAGAAUUUCUAGAAAGGCAACUGAAACAACAAAAUUGUCAUCAAGAAAUACAGUAAUAAACUAUGCUAUAAAAAUACUGAGGAUUUGCAGUGCAGAUCUGGAUUUUAUUCCCAUAAGCAUUAGAAUAAAAACCUAGACAUUUGCUGAUUUAAUGCCCACUUCCUCUUAAGAAGUCGUAGCUUCAUGCUACCCUAAAUCACAAACUACAGCAUCUCUUGCCACACUGAAUCUCACUAUGAGACUUUGCUCAUAUCUUGCUCACACAUUGCCCACCUGCAAUAAACUGUGCUUCAAACUGAAAGUGUAUGUAAGGUAACAUGUACCCACCAUUCUCACCCUACUAUUGAGGCUGAACCAACUACUAGAGAAUGACUUCAAGUCACACAGCAUCUCAGAACUACCCUAUUGAAAGUAAAAUGAAACUACCAUGUAGAAAAAUAUGUUCCUAGAAGAUCAUUUUAACUUCAUUCAGUUCAAGCUUGUAUGACUAUCUACACAUUUCCAUGGUCUUUCAGUUUCUAGGGACAGUUUACCCUACUGAUAUCUGAAAGGUAGCAAUCAGUGUGAGUAGGCUCUGAAAAUGUAUAUGAAUUCUUUCACAUACAUGACAGCUUGUUUUGAGCAGGAGAUGCAAGUGAAUGCAUAUAGACACAUGGAUGGAUUUAAGCACGAGGCCACAACUUUAUUAAUGCUCUAUUACAUACCAGGCAUUUAAGUGGGACCAGUGCAGGGUUACAGGGCUCCCAACAUUUAACCUGUAACUUGGGUUAGACUCUCCUCAGCUUAGCCCUUGGAUUCUGCUCAUUCUUCUGAAUCCUCUUUACCCUGAUACCCAUGAGGGGAACAGAAGGUAUGAAAAAGGGGGGACCUUGGUAUGCACAAGCUUCAGAUCUCCUUUCUCCAGCAGACAUAAGGCCCACCAGCAAAAUCCCAGGUGUCUGUCUCUCUCUUUUUUUUUCCCUUUGGGAGCAAGCCCCUUUUUGGCUGUUAUCUGCAGUGGACACUAAGAGUGCCAGCAAUUAGACUGCUCUCAUCCUCCACUGCACAGUACCUGUUUUCUGCCUGAUCCAAUCCCCAGUUGCCAUCGUACAUCAUAAUGGGAAAUUCAUUUACAGACUUAUCCGCGUUCCUUCCCCUGCAUCGAGCUUGCCUGUGCUUCACUGCCAGGCUGACUGGACUGUGGUGGAGUCUCAAAUUGGUCCUGGCUCACGGCAUAGCUAGAAAGUUGCAUGUCCCCCAUCUCCUCCUCAUCCUCACUGUUCACAUCGGGAAUCUGUGUCUCAGGCGCCUCAGAGGUAUCCACAGUGGUAUGGUGGUGGAGUCUCUGCCAGAUAUGGCAUGCAGCUCUUUGUAAAAGCAUAAGGUCUUAAACUUUGAACCAGAUUGACUGUUGGCCUCCCUGGCCUUCUGAUAUGCAUGCCACAAUUUCUUUGCUUGCACACAGCACUGUUGCUGAUCCCUCUCGUACUCUCUUGCAUCCCCUGUCCACAUUUCUACAUCUGGUCCAUGGCUGUGCCUGCACAGCCUCUUCUUCCCACAGCCCAGGAGAUCCAGUAUCUCCUGUCAACUCCAGAAUGGAGCAUGCCUGGAGCGUGUAGCAAACAUGGGCAGCUGGGCAGUUGCACACAAGAAUGGAGAGCUGCUAGGUGUGUUGCCAAGCUGGACAAUCAGGAAAAGGCAUUUCAAAAAUCACAGGGUUUUAAAGGAGAGGCUUCCAGUCUCCAUGGCCCCUGGGCAGUGGAGUUCACAAUUAUAACCAGAGCAGUUGGUAUAGGGCAUUAUAGGACAGCUGCUGGAGGAUAUAGGGUCAAUAUAGGUAAGGCAGUAUCUACACUUCACUGCAUUGACCUCAGUACGAUUGACUGUAGCUCAACGUGCUGGGUGAGGUGGUGUUACUGUGUUGCCAUAAUGGGGUGCUUAUAUUGGUGUGAAUCAAAUUUAACUGAUGACACAUGGACAACUAGGUCAAUGCAAGACACCUUACAUCAGGGCCACCCAGAGGAUACAGGGGGCCUGGGGCAAAGCUGGGGAGCUGCGGCGCUUGUACUCACCCGGCGGCGGUCCAGGUCUCUGGUGGCAUUUUGGUGGCGGGGGGCUUUUAGUCGCUCUGCAUCUUUGG